rnacentral:rRNA from 1 species
UUGCUCUUCAACGAGGAAUCCCUAGUAAGCGCAAGUCAUCAGCUUGCGUUGAUUACGUCCCUGCCCUUUGUACACACCGCCCGUCGCUACUACCGAUUGAAUGGCUCAGUGAGGCUUUCGGACUGGCCCAGAGAGGUGGGCAACUACCACUCAGGGCCGGAAAGUUAUCCAAACUCGGUCAUUUAGAGGAAGUAAAAGUCGUAACAAGGUCUCCGUUGGUGAACCAGCGGAGGGAUCAUUACUGAGUUACCGCUCUACAACCCUUUGUGAACAUACCUUAACUGUUGCUUCGGCGGGCAGGAGGACAACCCCCCUCGGGGGGCGGUCCCCCUCCCGGCCGCGCCCUCACGGGCGUGGCGCCCGCCGGAGGAUACCAAAACUCUAUUUUAACGACGUUUCUUCUGAGUGGCACAAGCAAAUAAUUAAAACUUUUAACAACGGAUCUCUUGGUUCUGGCAUCGAUGAAGAACGCAGCGAAAUGCGAUAAGUAAUGUGAAUUGCAGAAUUCAGUGAAUCAUCGAAUCUUUGAACGCACAUUGCGCCCGCCAGCAUUCUGGCGGGCAUGCCUGUUCGAGCGUCAUUUCAACCCUCAAGCCCAGCUUGGUGUUGGGGCCCUACGGUCGACGUAGGCCCUUAAAGGUAGUGGCGGACCCUCCCGGAGCCUCCUUUGCGUAGUAACUUAACGUCUCGCACUGGGAUCCGGAGGGACUCUUGCCGUAAAACCCCCAAAACUUUUACAGGUUGACCUCGGAUCAGGUAGGAAUACCCGCUGAACUUAAGCAUAUCAAUAAGCGGAGGA